rnacentral:ribozyme from 1 species
AAGAAAUUGCAUUGCUGAAGCAAGGAUUCGAAGCUUCUUGAGACCAUCUGCUUAUAUUCGAUCCAGUACAAAACGUACAGAACGGUAGAAUGUCUUCCAAUUUCUGAACUUGGGUACACUUGGGUAAUAUCAAUCCCUUGGUAGGAUGGGGAACAUGGCUUACACCAGAGGG